rnacentral:misc_RNA from 1 species
AGCAGCCGCGGUAAUUCCAGCUCCAAUAGCGUAUAUUAAAGUUGCUGCAGUUAAAAAGCUCGUAGUUGAAUUUCGGGACUAAUAUGUCGGUCGUGCCUCGGUACGUACUGGUUUAUUGGUUUCUCCUUUCUGAAGAACCAUGAUGUCAUUUAUUUGGUGUCGUGGGGAAUCAGGACUGUUACUUUGAAAAAUUAGAGUGUUUAAAGCAGGCUCACGCUUGAAUACAUUAGCAUGGAAUAAUGAAAUAGGACGUUUGAUUCUAUUUUGUUGGUUUCUAGGAUCGACGUAAUGAUUAAUAGGGAUAGUUGGGGGCAUUAGUAUUCAAUUGUCAGAGGUGAAAUUCUUGGAUUUAUUGAAGACUAACUACUGCGAAAGCAUUUGCCAAGGAUGUUUUCAUUAAUCAAGAACGAAAGUUAGGGGAUCGAAGACGAUCAGAUACCGUCGUAGUCUUAAACCAUAAACUAUGCCGACUAGGGAUCGGAUGAUGUUAAUUUUUUAAUGACUCAUUCGGCGCCUUAAC